rnacentral:rRNA from 1 species
GAUGAAGGCUCUGGGCUGUAAACUCUUUUAUCAAGGAAGAAGAUCUGACGGACUUGAUGAAUAAGCCACGGCUAAUUCAGUGCCAGCAGCCGCGGUAAUACGGGAGUGGCAAGCGUUAUCCGGAAUUAUUGGGCGUAAAGCGUCCGCAGGCGGUCUUUUAAGUCUGUCGUCAAAGCGUGGAGCUUAACUCCAUUUCUGCGAUGGAAACUGGAAGACUAGAGUGUGGUAGGGGCAGAGGGAAUUCCCGGUGUAGCGGUGAAAUGCGUAGAUAUCGGGAAGAACACCAGUGGCGAAGGCGCUCUGCUGGGCCAUAACUGACGCUCAUGGACGAAAGCCAGGGGAGCGAAAGGGGUUAGAUACCCCUGUAGUCCUGGCCGUAAACGAUGAACACUAGGUGUCGGGGGAAUCGACCCCCUCGGUGUCGUAGCCAACGCGUUAAGUGUUCCGCCUGGGGAGUACGCACGCAAGUGUGAAACUCAAAGGAAUUGACGGGGGCCCGCACAGGCGGUGGAGUAUGUGGUUUAAUUCGAUGCAACGCGAAGAACCUUACCAGGGUUUGACAUCCUGCGAAUCUCUUGGAAACGAGAGAGUGCCUUCGGGAACGCAGUGACAGGUGGUGCAUGGCUGUCGUCGCUCGUGUCGUGAGAUGUUGGGUUAAGUCCCGGACGAGCGCACCCCAGUCGUUAGUGCC